CACCUUUCUCCCUAAUCCUAGGGCCCUAGUCCAUCUCAAAAUAGAAAGAAAGAAGAAUGGGUGAGUGAGUGUAAAAACUGCGCUCUCACAAUUGCGGCCAUGGAAGAAGCUUCUUCGAGCGAAUAUUCCAUUUUCAAAAAAAGAAAAACCACUGCAUUCCAUAUUCCGUGCGAUCGGAGAAGAGGAACAGACUCUGAAGUACACUUUCGCUUGAAGAAUUUUGUUGUGAAGGCUCACUCUCGUGUUCAUCGCUCACUCACUCAUGCUCGUGUUUUCUGAACUCCGGGAUCCAUUCUACGAUCAAUUUCGUUCAUGUUCCGUUCUCUCUUUCUCUCCUAUGCUCGUGUUCUUCUCGGAAUUGGUUUCACUCUGACUGAACUGAAGGGGUUAACAUUCUUUGCAGGAGUUCUACUAGAGAAGCAUAUAGUUGUUGUCUGUUCUAAUUUGAUCUUCAUGUAGGAUGACAUAGAGAAGUUGGUAUCUAAGUUAGAAGACAAGGUUUGUGCUCCCGAGGAAGGUUCUUGCAUGGAUGCUAUAAUCCUUCACCUACAUGGUUGUUUGCCGCCUGAAUUGCAGGCAAGUAGUUUUGAUUGGAUACAAUUUUCAGAUAUAGAUGCUCUCAUAAUACUCACAAGUGCAGUGCCACAGAUAAAGCAUGGGUUUGAUCCAACCAAAGGACCAAGAUCAGAGUUCUAUUUUGAUGGUUUGACUAAGUUAUACUUUAUACAUAUUAUCUUGAAAACAGGUUAGGAAGUACCUGCUUUGUGUUUUGAUUUUGAUUUUUUUUCUUUUUAAUCUUUGCAGCUAAAGGAUUUAGCUGGGUACGUUGAUUAUUGUAGCUUGUAUAUCCACCAUUGCUGAUGCUCCAUUCUCUUCCUUUCACUGCAUAGUGUCAUGGAUAAUAUGUACAUUAUUGUCUAGUUUCUUAUGUGCAGUGGUGUAUUGUCACAAAUGGGGAGUAUAUAAACUACAAGUUCUCAGCUGUAUCCUACAAAUGUUUAUGGCUAUAGUUUUAGCUUGUUUUCUUUUUGUGUUAAUUGUCAUUUGGAGUUGAUUCAUUCAAUAAUGUCAGUUCUGCAUUCUUACUUUUUCAUUCUUCUA